AUUAAUGGACGGUAUAAAAAGAAAAGAAUAGGCAGAGGUAAUACUCCUCAAACCACGAAUUUUACUCCCACCCUUCGCGACCGGCGGCUCUCUUCUGUCCUCCUCUCCAUCUCGCCGCCUUCCACCACUGACCACCGGCCUCCGACAUUCAAGCCCUAGACGCAGGUCACGCAUCACCUUCGAGUCCUUGAACUUCUCGAGACGCGGCAGUCGGCAGCAGUCCUUCCAGUCUACAUUUCCACCAACGAUUCGACGGCAAAAGUAGAAGGUGAAGCUCCUUGAUUAUGAUUCCUAAACUGUACUCAAUUUCUAUCUGAAAAUUAAUUUUCUUGUUCAUUCUGUAAAUCCAAUUUAAAAAAAGUGCGUAUGUUUUAGUUAAUUUCUACUAUUUCUUGAUUUAAACUGUAGGGAAAAUGGAAUUUGUUUACUGGGCUGCUGGAGUUCAUUCAACUAAGAAGUUUUCUGCUCUCCAAGAUGCCAGACUUAAUAANAACAAGAUAUGA
rnacentral:lncRNA from 1 species